rnacentral:rRNA from 1 species
AUUGAACGCUGGCGGCAUGCUUUACACAUGCAAGUCGAACGGCAGCGCGGGGCAACCUGGCGGCGAGUGGCGAACGGGUGAGUAAUAUAUCGGAACGUACCCAAGAGUGGGGGAUAACGUAGCGAAAGUUACGCUAAUACCGCAUACGAUCUAAGGAUGAAAGCAGGGGAUCUUCGGACCUUGUGCUCCUGGAGCGGCCGAUAUCUGAUUAGCUAGUUGGUGAGGUAAAGGCUCACCAAGGCUACGAUCAGUAGCUGGUCUGAGAGGACGACCAGCCACACUGGAACUGAGACACGGUCCAGACUCCUACGGGAGGCAGCAGUGGGGAAUUUUGGACAAUGGGCGAAAGCCUGAUCCAGCAAUGCCGCGUGAGUGAAGAAGGCCUUCGGGUUGUAAAGCUCUUUUGUCAGGGAAGAAACGGUUUGGGCUAAUACCCUGAGCUAAUGACGGUACCUGAAGAAUAAGCACCGGCUAACUACGUGCCAGCAGCCGCGGUAAUACGUAGGGUGCAAGCGUUAAUCGGAAUUACUGGGCGUAAAGCGUGCGCAGGCGGUUUUGUAAGUCUGACGUGAAAUCCCCGGGCUCAACCUGGGAAUUGCGUUGGAGACUGCAAGGCUAGAAUCUGGCAGAGGGGGGUAGAAUUCCACGUGUAGCAGUGAAAUGCGUAGAGAUGUGGAGGAACACCGAUGGCGAAGGCAGCCCCCUGGGUCAAGAUUGACGCUCGUGCACGAAAGCGUGGGGAGCAAACAGGAUUAGAUACCCUGGUAGUCCACGCCCUAAACGAUGUCUACUAGUUGUCGGGUUUUAAUUAACUUGGUAACGCAGCUAACGCGUGAAGUAGACCGCCUGGGGAGUACGGUCGCAAGAUUAAAACUCAAAGGAAUUGACGGGGACCCGCACAAGCGGUGGAUGAUGUGGAUUAAUUCGAUGCAACGCGAAAAACCUUACCUACCCUUGACAUGUACGGAAGGCCGAAGAGAUUUGGCUGUGCUCGAAAGAGAACCGUAACACAGGUGCUGCAUGGCUGUCGUCAGCUCGUGUCGUGAGAUG